rnacentral:tRNA from 1 species
GCGGGAGUAGUUCAAUGGUAGAAUAACGGCCUUCCAAGCCGUCUAUGAGGGUUCGAUCCCCUUCUCCCGCUCCA